GCACUAGUAGUUCAAUGGCUAGAAUAUUGGCCUUCCAAGCCGAUGAUCCGGGUUCGAAUCCCGGCUGGUGCA
rnacentral:tRNA from 1 species